rnacentral:rRNA from 1 species
UACGUAGGGCGCAAGCGUUAUCCGGAAUUAUUGGGCGUAAAGGGCGCGUAGGCGGCUGGACAAGUCAAAGGUGAAAUCCCUCGGCUCAACUGAGGAACUGCCUUUGAAACUGUCUGGCUUGAGGCCGGGAGGGGGUAGCGGAAUUCCCAGUGUAGCGGUGAAAUGCGUAGAUACUGGGAGGAACACCAGUGGCGAAGGCGGCUACCUGGACCGGUACUGACGCUGAGGCGCGAAAGCGUGGGUAGCAAACAGG